rnacentral:lncRNA from 1 species
UAUAAAAUAUGUAACAAAAUUAUCGUUAAAUUAAGUAAAAUCUCUAAGGGGCUAUUUGGUUGCAUGCAUUUCUAGCUGCACUGUAAUUGAAAAUGCAUGCAUCUAUAAAAUUUUUGUUUGGUUUCGUAUAGUUAAGCCCAACUAUUGCAAUUGCAUCUGUACGAGAAGGCCAAACUUCAGCAGUUGGUACUACAGUCAAAUUUGGCUGCAGUACCAACUGUUGCUGUUGGGCCGAAGUCAGCUAACCCAUUAAAAAAAUAAACAGAGUGUGAUUUUUUUUAUAAGCUUCUUUUUUUUAUUUUUUUUCAAAAAUAUCUAUUCAUGAAAUCUGAUAGAGUUUAAUUAAUAAUGUCUGUUAGGAUCAAUAAAUUUUUUUCAUACGCGUUUUUUUUUUUUUCAGUCUGUUGGUUUAAUAAUAUCUUAAUUUUUAUUUUGACCAAAUCUAUAAUAUAUAUGCAUUUAGAAUUUAUUAAAUUCAUACAUAAUUUUAUAAUAUAUAAAUUAUAUAUAGAUAUAAAAGUCUUAAUUAAUAAUUAAAACAUGAUUACGUUAUGCUCAGAAAAAAUAAUCUCAUAUUUCUAUCUAAAAAUUGACAGAACUUACAAAUACAAAUCUCAACUGCAGACUACCAAACAAAAUAAAUAUAACUGGAGCAGUUGCAACUGCAUAAAAUCAAACAGACUAGAUAUAAUUAUGACUGUAAUAUUUACAACUAUAUGUACUUCCAACUAUACUAUUUUUCUAAGGCUUAACUAGUUUGGUAUUGAGGCCUAUCUAACGCUAUUAGAUAAAACGGAGUUGUGGAAAAAGCAUAUAGGGAUAUGGUUCUGCGUUCUCCAGUGGGACCGCAAAAAAUAUAUCGUAACCGACUCAUCGCGAUAUGCGGAACGCAAUAUUACGUACGGAAACAAAUAUGGUAUUUUUCGAACGUAUUUUCUCACCGCACGUAACGCAAUCUCCCGGCAAUAUCAAACGAAGUCUAACUAUAUCCAACCAAACAGUUCUUAAUAAGAAUUUCAGACAUAUACAACAGAAAAAAAAAAAAAGAAAAAGAAAAAGAAAAAGAAAUCUUUAUCUAUAUCAAAAUGAUCGAUCGAUCUAAUGGUUUCGGGAAGGGGGAAGGUCCCCAUACAUUUUUACCUUGUACUACUCUUCGGUUUAUUACUGCAUGCAAUUAAUUAUUACUCACUCAAAAUCACUGCAUGAAAAGGAGACAACGUGUGAGUCCACCAUACGGGGAUCCUCUGUGGGUGCAUGCACUAUGCAGUAGCUGCGGCACAUCCUAUGACAGUGUGUGUGCCGAUCACUCCAUUGCUGUAUGAUGUUGAUCGGAUUGCUUUUUGUCAAACCAACAUGGAAUGGUAUUUAUUUUGUUGUGCACUCCUGGCCCCCCUCUCAGCAUUUGUUGCACUGUUUUGUGGUUGUGACCUGUGCUUCUUUUUUUUUUUUUUUUUGUUUUUAAAUCUUUGUACACUCGCACACGCAUCUAUCUAAAUUUUCAUUCGAAGCGCGAUUUGAAUUCGAGACCUACAGUUGAAAAUAGGGUAACAUGCAUAUCUAUUAACUAUCGCGAUGGGUACGAAUUUUAGUCACAUAUCGUAUAUAAUGAAUCUGGUCAAUUUCGAUCAGUGUAUUAAUUAAUUAUGGUCAACUUCAACAUGCGUUUGUCAUUAGUAAUGCGAUAGCUGUUACCGUCGCCACUUGUCUUCAAAUUUAGGAACCAUUUCACACUUCGCUAAAAUUUUAUAACUUUUGUAAUUAAAUUGUGUGAUUAGCACCUGUGAGUGGACAUUUAGAGUCGUGUGAUAUGAUCAAUUAGUUAGCUCUAGAAUAAACUAGUAUUAGAAAUGUAUAAAUCAUUAACCCAAACAUGCAUAUUCAGUAUUAAUUAUAUAUAGGUGUAUAUCCAGCUCACAACAAUUCAAUAGCCAUGCAUUCAUAUACUGAGCAUAUAUAAUCACAUAGUGGUGAAGCUACAAGUUGAUAUAUACACUGAUAUUUUAUGUAUAUAUAUAUAUAUAUAUAUAUAUAUAUAUAUAUUACACUAGAGGCCCUCUUCUAUUUGUAGAUGAGAAUGCAAGAUGGUCCACUCAUUUACUAGGGCUUGUUUGGUCCCCCUACUCGCGCUGCUUUUGCAUGAAUCGGGGCCAAAAAGUUUUUUGUUUGGUUAGUGGUUUCGUACUGAUUCAAAGGCCACAAAAUUUUCGCAAAAGUAAAAGGUGUGCUUUGAAGAGAAACACUAAAAAGUGUAAUGUUCGUCUCCAGCGAAGUGUAAACACUAUAUUGUAGUUGUUUGCGAAAGCAAAUUUACAUAUUUUUUUAAGGAGUCAAGAGCUUGAUCUCUUACAAAAAAAUGUAAAUGCAUAUAUACCAUGCACGGGUUUUGAUACAAAAGAAAACCCUACACGUACAAUCGACCAAAAUAACUACUUAAUUGUCACAUUUUUUGACUCAAUCUCCGUGAAUGAAAAUGAAGCGGAGACUAUAAUUAUAACCAAAGUGAAGUACAAAAGUAUGCGAUGUAUCAAAAAAUCCUAGCCCCGAAAUACACACAGUCCUCUCUCUCCUACAAUAUGCUACACCCUAUUGCACACACGUACAAAUCCAUCAGAGAAGAGCCAAUAUUUACCAUAAUUAAACUAAAAUUAAUUUCAGUCUAAGAUUGGAAAUAGUUCUGAUUUGACUAAAAUCCUAAUAGGAUAAGAAAUAUUCAUAAUAAGAUUAGGAAUAAUUUCUAUAAUAUAUAUCAAAAACUACUGUGAUUAGUAUUAAUACCAGCUUAUCUAAAAUGGUUGAUAAAAAAAGAAUAGAUCUAGAAAAUCCUCCGACUCCUAAAAUCGAGACACUUCUAACAAAUGUGAACAGCGGAACAAACAGUUUACACAGUACUAGCUAGGGACCACAUCCUAUUAAAUAUAAAAAUAUAUAGACAUCGUUCUCUAAUAGCUUAAUUAAGUUUUUAGAUCUAGUACAACGAUUAUUUUACAUGGUUUCAAAGCGGAAAACCCUGAGUUUGAGUUACGCCAGACUUUUAGCAUUAUUAAUUUUCUUUUAUUUAAAUCAAGUCCAGUCUCGAGUCCAGACGUGAGGGGGAGUAUUAAAUAUAACACUACAACAAAAACGGUCUAUAGCGACACUUUUAAAUAUAGGUACAUGUCAAAAAAGUGCUGCUAGCUAAAAUUAACGACACUUUUAAAAAGUGUUGCUAUAUGUGGGGUCGCUAGGUAUAUAGUGACAGUUAAAGAGUGUCGCUAUAACCUAAAAGAGUGCUGCUAAUUUACGAACACUUAUUUAAGCAUUUAGCAACCGCCGAAACUUUAUCUCGUUAGCUGCGGUAGCGGAGGAGGACGACAGGAAAGGCUCUUCGUCUAGAAUUUCAGUGGAUUGAGUGAAGAGAGAAGAAAAGAUGGCAAUUGAUUUUUCUUUUUUUUUUCUUUUCUGUUUGUAAUCGGGCCAAAUGGACUGGGUGUGGUGGGUUGAGUAGAGUAAUCUUUUAUUUUUGGUUGGAUUGGGCUUUAUAUUUAGGCAUUAGCAGAUAUUUUUUUAAGUUUUAGCAUAAAUGAGACACUUACUCAAAAGUGUCCCAAACAUGUGUCCCUAUAAUCUAAUUCUGUUGUAGUGUAAAAAUAUAUAGAUACAGUUCUCUAAUAGCUUAGGUUUUUAGAGUACAUGCAUACAACGGUUGUUUCACACAUCCCUGUUAAAAUUUUGUUCUCUUGUUUGGUUUUUUUAGCAUGUGUGGGAAUUCAUCAUGAGAUUGAUUCAACAAAAUAUACAGUUGACUAAAUAGGUUUCUAUAUUGAAGUUGAGGCAAGUCAUUUUCCUCAAAGAGGUUAUGAGGAAAGGUAGAGUCAUCAUCUUAUUAAAGAGAUGAGACAAGUGUCAAAGCAACUUACCUAACAAUUGUCUUGUUUUUCCUUAUGGGGUUUUAAAGUGUGAAAAUGCCCUUCAAAAGAUUUUGAAAGAUCCUUGUCAUUUUAUUGCUUUCAGAAAGAGAGGCAGGAGAUGUUCAGACUCAGCUGUGGAUUAAUUAGACAACUUUUUGCCACAAUGGUUUAAUUUUUGUUCUUAGUAUGACCCCCAGGGAUUUGACCCCUUUUUUGCAUUUUAUUUUCGCAUAUUAGUCCUUAAAAAUAUAGUUAUUUACAUAUAAAUCUUCCGAAACCGUCAUAAAAUGCACGGCCUAUCUUCAAAUGCAUGUUAACCUUCAAACUGGGGGAUAUCAAUCUUUUUUUUUUUGAGAGAUAGGUAGCACGCUACCCGCUUCAUUUAUUUCAUUUAGAAAUAAACUUAGCUGAAAAUGUGAAUCAAAUAGGAUUCGAACUUGGGACAUCGGAUAUAUACCAACCACCUGUAUGUAGAUAAGUUCAUUACCAUGUAAUUAACUUACUAUUUUUUUCCCUAAAAAAUAAAAAUAUUUUAUUUUUUUAUGCAUAUUAGUCUUUGAACAAUUAAUAAAGUUAUGCUAAGUUAACCACAAAGUUAACAUAAUGCUUUGCCUUUAUAAAACUCAGAGUUUCUAAGGGUAACUAUGCAAUAAUAAAAAAAAAAGUUCUAGCUUUGUGAUUCUAGCAUAUCUACCAAUGGGCUAACAUGUAAUUUACUAAACUUUAGGGAGUAAUAUGCGAAAAAAAAAAACCUUUUCCUUUCUAGAAGGAAAAGGUGACCACUCCAAUUGAGUAAUUGUGUUGGGCCAUCCUUUUCAAUUCAGGAAAAUAAAUAGUUUUAAAAACAUUGGAGUAAUCAAACAGUAGACACCCUGACCCCACCACUCUUAUGAUUCUUCAAUCAUGCAUGGCCUAUCAUUAAUGGCACAUAUAUUAGGUGUUUUUCCUUCAUUUUCUUCUUUUUAAAUAUAACUCUUGUUUAUUGGCGAAAGAAACAUAGCUAAGCGCCUAUUUGAUCCCACUAAAAAAAUAUUAUUUACAAUAAUAAAGUUGUUAAAAAAUAUAUUAGUAAUUCUUAUAGUAGAAAAAACAAAUGAUUCUGAUUAGAAUUUCUACUGUAAAUAAAGGCACUCAGAGGUUCGUUGGAUUACUAAAAGUUGAAGAAUUUUUUGCCUACUUAAAAAAUUUUACAACUGUUUACUUACACUGAUGUUGACAGGUACUUCUUCUUAGUUCUCUCUAAUUAUUAUAAAAUAAAAUAUUACUAGUACAUCCAAAAAGUUAGAAUUUGAAACUCUUUAAAUUUCUAGUAUUUAAAAAAAAUAAUUGUAAUAAGACGCGAGCCCUAUGAGCCCUUGGAUAUGUACCAGCAAUAUUUAUCUUAUUAUAAUUACCAAUUUACCCUUGGGUGCAUUUAGUUUAGGUUAUCUUAGCGGGAUUAAAAUCACCACAAAAUCACCAAAAAUGGUGCAAAUUUUUUUUUCGAAAAUAUUACCGAGCAGAAGGGUGGGUAUUUCAUAUUAUAUAUUGAUAGCAUACAAUUUUGCAUGUUAUACAAAAUUAUAAGUUUACCUCUCCAGCCUCUCCUCCCCAAAUCCUUUCAAUACAUCAUUUUUAUUUUCGCUCUCUCUCUUUCUCUCCAUCUUUACUGUCAGAAUUACAACACUUUAUUGCAAAUCAGAAUUAUUGAAUUUUAUAAACUGAAUCAAAUAUAGUAAUUUUAUAUAUUCUGUAAUCUAGUAUUAUACUACUGUAUUAAAUCAAACGCGGUAAUACAAUAUCAGUAGUAAUCUGGUUCAACUAACCGGUAAUUCCAUAACGCAAACUAAAUGCGCCCUUAAAAUAAACUACCUUUUCUACAAAUUGCACCAAGUGUCCAAUAUUUAAAAUUGUCUACAUCAGUACAUAAGUAAACAUAUGCAAAUUAUGUUGAAAAAGUACAACAAUACUAGAUAUGUAGCUAGGUUAAUUUUUACCAAAUUGAGAUAGACAACAAAGGAGAUACAUAUCAAUGAGUUGGCCUUUCUUCUUUUUUGCAGGUAUCAAUUAAACUCUUGCACUCUAUUGUCUCCAAUCAUCCUGAAGUUUGUGGAGUGUGGACAAAGUUUUAUGAAUGAGUAAAAUAAUUAAAAGUGUUUUCAAGGGGGAAAAAGUGAGUUUUAGUUAUAACCUUCAAUAUGUGAAAUGUAAGAGCACAUAGGUUUAAUUUCUUUAAAAUUAAUGGAGCUAGCACUCCCUCACGUGCAUAUUGGAUAUGGAGUCUGACUACUAUACUCUUAUGAGUACGAUCGCCCUCGUACUCAUAAGUCGUUUUUUAUGAUAGAGCUUCCGAAUCGACGAUUCAUAUCGUUAAACGUUAUCUAGAGCAUUUAAAACUUCUAGAAAUUAAAUUUUAUAAUUUUUCGACAUCAUUUAUCUUACGAUCAAAAGGUUACAAAAUUGAUAAUUUUUAACGGCCGGUAUGGGAUACUUUCUAGUUUAGCAGUGUAAAAGAAUCAGAAUCGAUUGAAUUUUUUAUAGAAAAUUCUAUUCGCUAUAAAGAUCAAUAACUCCGAUCGUAAAUUGAAGGAUCCGAUCAUCCAUUUUUGGACGUCGUUCGAUUUUGACCAUUCAUUUUAUUCUCACUUGAUGGACUUUAUUAUGAUUUCGAAAAAUUAUGAAAUUUAUUUUUUAGAAGUUUCAAAUACUCUAGAUCAUAUUUAAUAGAGUAGAUCGUCGAUUCGGAAGUUCCAUCAUCAAACUCAAUUUAUGAGUACGAUGGGUUUUAUACUCAUAAAAGUAUAGUAGUCCUACUCUUGGAUAUGAACGAUAUAUAAAAA